AAGUCGUAACAAGGUUUCCGUAGGUGAACCUGCGGAAGGAUCAUUAACACUAAUUAAAAAAAGUAAGAAGCUAUGAGGAUUUUCCUGCAGACUUUAUCGUUUGCAGAAGCUUCCUUUUUGCUCUUACUCCAAAUCUACCCAAAAUUAUUGAAAGUGCUGGUUGAUUUUUUCUGUUUCUUCAAACAAACGAAAAAAUCACUCAUUUCUUUUCUUUAUCAUAUCAACAACCCCAAAUCUUUUUUUGCUAAUGCAAAUGACAAUUACUAAAAACAAAAAUAACUACUUUAACGUAACCAAACAACUCUUAGCAACGGAUAUCUUGGCUCUC
rnacentral:misc_RNA from 1 species